rnacentral:rRNA from 1 species
GAUGAACGCUAGCGGCAGGCCUAACACAUGCAAGUCGAGGGGUAACUAGAGUGAUAGCAAUAUUACUUUGGCUAGACCGGCGCACGGGUGCGUAACACGUAUGCAACCUACCCUAUACUGGGGAAUAACUUCGAGAAAUCGGCGCUAAUACCCCAUAACAUUGCGAAGAGGCAUCUCUUUGCAAUUAAAGCUCCGGCGGUAUAAGAUGGGCAUGCGUCCAAUUAGCUAGUUGGUGAGGUAACGGCUCACCAAGGCUACGAUUGGUAGGGGUUCUGAGAGGAUGAUCCCCCACACUGGUACUGAGACACGGACCAGACUCCUACGGGAGGCAGCAGUGAGGAAUAUUGCGCAAUGGACGAAAGUCUGACGCAGCCAUGCCGCGUGCAGGAUGACGGCCCUAUGGGUUGUAAACUGCUUUUGUACGGGAAUAAACCCUUCUACGUGUAGGAGGCUGAAGGUACCGUAAGAAUAAGCACCGGCUAACUCCGUGCCAGCCGCCGCGGAAA